rnacentral:rRNA from 1 species
CCUACGGGAGGCAGCAGUGAGGAAUAUUGGUCAAUGGACGAGAGUCUGAACCAGCCAAGUAGCGUGAAGGAUGACUGCCCUAUGGGUUGUAAACUUCUUUUAUAAAGGAAUAAAACGAGGCACGUGUGCCUUUUUGCAUGUACUUUAUGAAUAAGGAUCGACUAACUCCGUGCCAGCAGCCGCGGUAAUACGGAGGAUCCGAGCGUUAUCCGGAUUUAUUGGGUUUAAAGGGAGCGUAGAUGGGUUGUUAAGUCAGUUGUGAAAGUUUGCGGCUCAACCGUAAAAUUGCAAUUGAUACUGGCAGUCGUGAGUACAGUUGAGGUAGGCGGAAUUCGUGGUGUAGCGGUGAAAUGCUUAGAUAUCACGAAGAACCCCGAUUGCGAAGGCAGCUUACUAAACUGUGACUGACAUUGAUGCUCGAAAGUGUGGGUAUCAAACAGGAUUAGAUACCCGGGUAGUC